CGUGUCAUUGCACUCCAGCCUGGGUAACAAGAGCAAGACUCUGUCUAAAAAAAAAAAAAAAAGAAAGAAAGAAAAAGAAAAGAAAGAAAGCUUGAAGAAGAGGGAGCAAGAGCAGGCAGUGGAGAAUGAGGUCCCUAAGGAGUAGACUGGAGGAGUAUAUUGGUGUCUCAGACCAGAGCCUCAGUGGGGAUUCCCAGGGGCUGGUGUGGCUAAAUCUUUUUUGCUCAUCUGUUCCUGCUGGCUGAUGUUUACCUCGUUCCCCCAAUACAUAUAUCAAGAGCCUUUUGAAUUUGAGCUGAACCAGCUAAAGACUGCGCACCAGCUAGACUGAACUUCUCAGCGGUCGGCAUGGCCAUGAGCCUGAAUUUGGGCCAGUGGGCAGUGAGCAGGUGGGAUGUUUGUAACUGCCAGUCACUCUCUGAAGAUGAAGGUGCUUCCCUGGACUCCCUCUUCAUCUCCAUUUUUUCCUACAGCAGGGAGUGUGGAUGUGGCAGCAACCCAGCAUGUAGCAUGCCAACCACGUACCAAGCCAUACACAACAUGUCAUCACAAGACAACAGAGCAGGAGACCCAGCAGACCGGGCUCCCCAGCAACUUCAUGAAGCACCAUCUACUCACCUCCAGACAAUCUGGGGAGAGAGACUGAAACCUCUCUCCAAGCCAUUUCAUCUUUGAUCUCCUUGUUUUCGUGGUUCAGGUCGUAACUUAAUAAAUAAGACAUGUUUGA